rnacentral:SRP_RNA from 1 species
CCGUGCUAGACGGGGAGCCAGCGGUGCCCUGAACCCGCAAUCCGCUUUAGCGGGGUUGAAUUCCCUCCCGAGGUUGUACGCUCCAGACACGUUCGACGCGAAGUGGUGUUGAGGACCGGGUCCCAUGCGGCGGAAGCCUGUGAACCCCGCCAGGUUCGGAAGGAAGCAACGGUAAGCGGUCUCUUCCGGGUGUCGUGGGGAAGCCCGAUCUGAGCUAACUGGCGCCGGCGCGUUCGCGAGACGCAAUCGAAGGGGGGUGCACGG